rnacentral:rRNA from 1 species
AUUGAACGCUGGCGGCAUGCUUUACACAUGCAAGUCGAACGGUAACAGGUUUUCGGAUGCUGACGAGUGGCGAACGGGUGAGUAACACAUCGGAACGUGCCUAGUAGUGGGGGAUAACUACUCGAAAGAGUAGCUAAUACCGCAUGAGAUCUAAGGAUGAAAGCAGGGGACCUUCGGGCCUUGCGCUACUAGAGCGGCUGAUGGCAGAUUAGGUAGUUGGUGGAAUAAAAGCUUACCAAGCCGACGAUCUGUAGCUGGUCUGAGAGGACGACCAGCCACACUGGGACUGAGACACGGCCCAGACUCCUACGGGAGGCAGCAGUGGGGAAUUUUGGACAAUGGGCGAAAGCCUGAUCCAGCAAUGCCGCGUGUAGGAUGAAGGCCCUCGGGUUGUAAACUACUUUUGUACGGAACGAAAAGACUCUUUCUAAUAAAGAGGGUCCAUGACGGUACCGUAAGAAUAAGCACCGGCUAACUACGUGCCAGCAGCCGCGGUAAACGU